rnacentral:sRNA from 1 species
GCCGGGCGCGGUGGCGCAAGCCUAUAAUCCCAGUGGUUAGGAGGCUGAGACAGGAGAAUCGCGAGUUCAAAGCCAGCCUCAGCAAUGGCGAGGCCCUAAGCAGUUCAGUGAGACCCUGUCUCUA